GACGAACCGUGCGAACGUUGUUCGGAAUCACUGGGCUUAAAGGGCGCGUAGGCGGCUUCUCAAGUCAGGGGUGAAAUCUUUCGGCUCAACCGGAAAAGUGCCUCUGAUACUGGGGGGCUUGAGGGAGGUAGGGGCAUGUGGAACUUCCGGUGGAGCGGUGAAAUGCGUUGAUAUCGGAAGGAACACCGGUGGCGAAAGCGACGUGCUGGCCCUCUUCUGACGCUGAGGCGCGAAAGCUAGGGGAGCGAACGGG
rnacentral:rRNA from 1 species